AGAAUCUUCCAUUCUCAGAACUUGGCCUCCACUGCAUUCUGGAAUUUGGGGUCCAUGUGUUUAAAACUCACACAUAGAAUCCAGUCCAGAGGAGGGAAGGCAAGGUUUCAAUGGUUUGUGCUCUGCCUGGUUCUGCAUCACCAAGGUUGACAGGAAAGAAAUCUUCCAUGUUACAAGGAUAUUAUAUAUCAAAGGAAUUUCCUCUGCAUAAAGGAUACUGAAGAAUAUGUCACAGACAUAUUCCUGUUCUGCUCCUCUUAUCUUACUGAUCUAUCUGCCAAGAUCCACAGUAGAGAAUGGCUCAGGUGCUGGGGCUUUAGAGACUUUGUGGCUAUGAAGCACACAUGUGCAUAUACACAUAUGGUUAGAUGGUGGAUACAAUUAGUGUGCAAUAUGAAAUGAAAUGUUUUCAUGAAAAGCUUAAA